rnacentral:rRNA from 2 species
UGAGGGGGGCUGCUCCUAGUACGAGAGGACCGGAGUGGACGCAUCACUGGUGUUCGGGUUGUCAUGCCAAUGGCAUUGCCCGGUAGCUAAAUGCGGAAAAGAUAAGUGCUGAAAGCAUCUAAGCACGAAACUUGCCCCGAGAUGAGUUCUCCCUGAGACUUAGAGUCUCCUGAAGGAACGUUGAAGACGACGACGUUGAUAGGCCGGGUGUGUAAGCGCAGCGAUGCGUUGAGCUAACCGGUACUAAUGAACCGUGAGGCUUAACCUUACAACGCCGAAG